CAGUCGCCGCGGGAAUACGUAGGGUGCAAGCGUUGUCCGGAAUUAUUGGGCGUAAAGAGCUCGUAGGCGGUUUGUCGCGUCUGCUGUGAAAUCCCGAGGCUCAACCUCGGGCUUGCAGUGGGUACGGGCAGACUAGAGUGCGGUAGGGGAGAUUGGAAUUCCUGGUGUAGCGGUGGAAUGCGCAGAUAUCAGGGGGAACACCGAUGGCGAAGGCAGAUCUCUGGGCCGUAACUGACGCUGAGGAGCGAAAGCGUGGGGAGCGAACAAGAUUAGAUACCCCUGUAGUCCCUGUCUCUUAUAC
rnacentral:rRNA from 1 species